CAAAAGCAGCUUCUGGUAUAGUCAAUCCAGUGUCUUCUUCAGUGGCAGCACUUGCCAAAGUGAGUGGUGUUGAAGCCAAAUUCACCUCUAAAUUUGUUGCAGUAUCCAUCUCUUCCCCAGUGUCAGAAUGCAAAGCUUUAACAUCCACAGUAGCAAUGCUUCUUUUUCCUCUGGUUUUGCUUUUAGAUUCCUCUCUCUUCUCAAAUCUUUUAAAAGCAGCCUCUGCCACAGUCAAUCCAGUGUCUUCUCUUAAUGGUGAAAUAGUAAUGUCAUUGGCAUUCUUGAUAUGCUCUGUUGCUUUCUCCUCAACAGAUUUGCAAGGUGGAGAGAGUCCAACCAAGCCACUUUUUGAGGCUUCUAAUGUAGAUUUUCUUGGAAAUUCCCCAACCAAGGAUCCAUCCAGAAAGGCUUCUGUCUCCUCAACUGCUUCACGUUUUUGUUUCAGUUGCCCAACCUUUCCAACACUAUCAGCAAUUUCAUUCAUUUCAUUAACGGUAGCCACCGAACUUUGUCUAGAAGCAUUCCUGGUAGACCUCCGCAAUUCAUUAGACACUAUGGCAUCUUCUCCUGAAACAUUUUCAUUUGAUUGCUUCACCUUUCCAACCGCUUCUCCGGCUUUCUGUUCAUUAGUGGCAGCAGUAGAGCUCAACACAGCAGCUUUACGG
rnacentral:misc_RNA from 1 species